rnacentral:tRNA from 1 species
GCCAACGUAGCUCAGAGGUAGAGCAGCUGAUUCGUAAUCAGCAGGUCCAGGGUUCAAAUCCCUGCGUUGGCUCCA